rnacentral:misc_RNA from 1 species
CAAGAAGUUCCUACAGGAAAAUAAUGGCUACUCAGCAUUCAACAUAAAGGGCACUCAACAAUUAUAAACAGAUAACAAUCAAGGAAAAACAAGAAACUUAUCAUGUCCACAUAAUUAUGUGUCAGAUACAUGGAAUCUGACGCUAAAAAGAAUUACCUCUACUCCAGAUAUUACAUCAUUUGACUAAAAUAUCAGUUUCAACAAGCUUAUCAAUAAAUAAUACAAUAUAGAAAGUAGAAGUUCCAACUGAGACAUUAAGAAAUGCAAGCAACAGCUCAAG